rnacentral:rRNA from 1 species
UACGUAGGGUCCGAGCGUUGUCCGGAAUUACUGGGCGUAAAGAGCUCGUAGGUGGUUUGUCGCGUCGACUGUGAAAACUGGGGGCUUAACUCUCAGCUUGCAGUUGAUACGGGCAGACUUGAGUUCGGUAGGGGAGACUGGAAUUCCUGGUGUAGCGGUGAAAUGCGCAGAUAUCAGGAGGAACACCGGUGGCGAAGGCGGGUCUCUGGGCCGAUACUGACGCUGAGGAGCGAAAGCGUGGGGAGCGAACAGG